rnacentral:pre_miRNA from 1 species
AGUGGGAUAGCUGGGUCAAAUGGUGGUUCCGUUCCCAGUUUUCCAAGGAAUCUCUAUAUUACUUUCCAUACUGGCUACACCAAUUUGCAGUCCCACCAGCAAU